AGAGUUUGAUCAUGGCUCAGAUUGAACGCUGGCGGCAGGCUUAACACAUGCAAGUCGAGCGGGGGAGGUUGCUUCGGUAACUGACCUAGCGGCGGACGGGUGAGUAAUGCUUAGGAAUCUGCCUAUUAGUGGGGGACAACAUUCCGAAAGGAAUGCUAAUACCGCAUACGCCCUACGGGGGAAAGCAGGGGAUCUUCGGACCUUGCGCUAAUAGAUGAGCCUAAGUCGGAUUAGCUAGUUGGUGGGGUAAAGGCCUACCAAGGCGACGAUCUGUAGCGGGUCUGAGAGGAUGAUCCGCCACACUGGGACUGAGACACGGCCCAGACUCCUACGGGAGGCAGCAGUGGGGAAUAUUGGACAAUGGGCGCAAGCCUGAUCCAGCCAUGCCGCGUGUGUGAAGAAGGCCUUUUGGUUGUAAAGCACUUUAAGCGAGGAGGAGGCUCCUUUAGUUAAUACCUAAAGUGAGUGGACGUUACUCGCAGAAUAAGCACCGGCUAACUCUGUGCCAGCAGCCGCGGUAAUACAGAGGGUGCGAGCGUUAAUCGGAUUUACUGGGCGUAAAGCGUGCGUAGGCGGCUUUUUAAGUCGGAUGUGAAAUCCCUGAGCUUAACUUAGGAAUUGCAUUCGAUACUGGAAAGCUAGAGUAUGGGAGAGGAUGGUAGAAUUCCAGGUGUGGCGGUGAAAUGCGUAGAGAUCUGGAGGAAUACCGAUGGCGAAGGCAGCCAUCUGGCCUAAUACUGACGCUGAGGUACGAAAGCAUGGGGAGCAAACAGGAUUAGAUACCCUGGUAGUCC
rnacentral:rRNA from 1 species